AAUCAACGCUGGCGGCGUGCCUAACACAUGCAAGUCGAACGCGAAAGUCCCGCAAGGGAUUAGUAGAGUGGCAAACGGGUGAGUAACACGUGGGUGACCUGCCUUCGAGUGGGGGAUAACGUCCCGAAAGGGACGCUAAUACCGCAUGACAUCCUGCCUUUGAAGAGGUGGAGCUUAAAGCCGGGGAUCGCAAGACCUGGCGCUUGAAGAGGGGCCCGCGCCUGAUUAGCUAGNGGUGAGGUAAUGGCUCACCAAGGCAUCGAUCAGUAUCCGGCCUGAGAGGGCGGACGGACACACUGGGACUGAGACACGGCCCAGACUCCUACGGGAGGCAGCAGUGGGGAAUUGUUCGCAAUGGGCGCAAGCCUGACCGACG
rnacentral:rRNA from 1 species